AACGCACAUUGCGCCCUGUGGUAUUCCGCAGGGCAUGCCUGUUCGAGCGUCAUUUCAACCAAUCAAGCUUAGGCUUGGUCUUGGGGUAUGCGGGUUUCCGCAGCCUCUAAAAUCAGUGGCGGCGCUAGUUAGCUCUGAGCGUAGUAAUACUCCUCGCUAUAGAGCCUAGGUAGUGUCUUGCCAGCAACCCCCCCCUUUUUUUCAGGUUGACCUCGGAUCAGGUAGGGAUACCCGCUGAACUUAA
rnacentral:misc_RNA from 1 species